rnacentral:lncRNA from 7 species
AAAAUGUCUCAUGCAGGCACAAGGCUUCCACAACUUCAGUUCUGAUGCAACAAUUUUGUCAAACUAAAAUAUUUUCAAAACAUCCAUCCAAAGGCUCUGAGUUCCAAAGAGCCUUGAGUUCAUACAAACUCAAGGUGUCUGUGCUCCACUUAACUCUUAUAUAAGAUCAUUGCUUACUGCUGGAAAACACUUCCACCAAAAAUCUCACAGAAGAGAUGUUCUGAGAAAUGUGAAGAUAAAAAAUUCUUUGUUAUUGUUGGUUUUCUGUCUGCAAUCAUAACUGGGCUGUUGCCUUUGCAGAUCCUCACAAAGAUGACUGGCAUUUGAUGUCAUUGCUUUUCCAGUUGUGUUGAUCCAACACCGAAGAACAUAUAUCCUCCAUCAAAGGCAAACUCAGUUUCCAAGUGCACAACGAAGAGUUAUAAUGAGGCUCAGAAAGUCACAAUCCAUACCGCAAUAUUAUCUUGCAGAUCUAGAAUAUUAUUUGAAGGCCUGCACAUUAUUGCUGGAUGACUGUCUGCUGUCGCUGCUCUUCUUCUCUUAAGAUGUUUCUUAAAACAUUUAUAUUGGUGAACAUACAGGGGAUAAUUCUAAUCUCAAAGCUUGAGGUGGGAGAAAUGCAUACUCUUGUACAAGGCUGUUAUCACUCUAAAUCAUAAUCGUAAUUAAUAACAAGCAGAAGACCCCAAGCCUGUGAAUACUGUGUUCUGUGGUGUUAACUGUGUGAAGAGGAAAAAUACAGCCUGCAGAACGUGUGCUCUCUUGAGGGCUUAAUUCAAAGCAACCAGAAGCUACAGAGCAGAGGACAUGCUAUUCUGCAUCUGAAGGACAGGAAGCGCGGGCAAACUACAAAAUUGGUUAAAAUAGCUCAUUAACAGAAAUGCUGGAGCUGCCAGCACUUCAUGAUUCAUGAUUACACUUUGACUUUCCUGAAUGUUUAACAUGUUAUUAGAAAACAUCAAAACUCUCAGUGUUGAUAUUUUUAUGGGAAAAAAAUAUAUAUACUUGAAAUGCCAGUAGGUAUCUGAAUGUUCCUAUAUGUUUGAAACAUUGGUUUGAGUCCCAUUGAGUCUAAAAAUUUCUGAUUGUUUCUGAAAUUUCAACAUGCUCCUUUCCCACCACGUAUGAACUAGAAUUUUCCCAGAUAAAACUGUUAGCAGUAAAGAAAUCUGUUUCCACUUCUCUUCAUGACAUAUUCUUGAAGUUUUUACAAACAUGAGUGUCUCAAUUGUCAAUGACCUCAGAAAGGCCUCUCAUUUUAUACCAUUCAAAGCAGAAAUUCUGGCCUUGAACACAGCUAGAAGUGGCACUGUUAUGCAUGAGUAGAACAGACUCAGGUCCUCAGCAGCUCGAGCAGUGACAGUAAAAAGCAGCUUAAGCCAAGAAGAGACCCAAGAGAACAGGAGAGGGAAUGCAAAGUUGUUUGUAACACAAAAGUGUAGUAUUAGGUUUCUUACCAACGUUUGUUUUCCAAACGGGUUUAGAGAAAGGUGGGUCAGUUUUAUAGGUGAUAUCUGAAAGAAAGCAGAGAAGGUAUGAUUUCAGCAUUUUGUACAACUUCACACUUUUUCUCUAGAGGCUCUCAUAUAUGCACACAUCUGCCUGGGAAUGACAAUAGAAAUUAGAUGUUAGACACAUAGUAACACUGGAAGAUGGAAUAACAAUACACUAGGCCACUAAAGAAGUUGACACUGUGGUUUCAGCAUGACACAGAGAAGCCCCUAAAACUACAAAGCAAGUUUAGUGCAUGCUGCUGGGUACGUGGAACCAGCAAUUGAAAUAGUUCAGCCUGCAGCAGUUCAACAUGCAACAUUACAAAUGAGGAAACUCAGACACAGGAGUUCAUGACAGCAGCAUCCACUGAGUUCUCCCUCACACGGUAUUUUCAACGGCAGCUGGUAUGCCUUCCUGGGAAGAAAGUACUGGUUCAUCAUCAGUGGCCCGGGAAUGAGGUGGAGUGACCUGCAAAAGCUUGAGUCUACAGUUUGCCUUCUCCGAGAAGACAAAGCAGGGCCUGCUCCUGGCACUGAUGCUAUUACACCGCACUUCCUCCCCAGAGCUGCAUGGUAUGAAAACACAUGGUCUAGAAACUAAUGAUGUAUCUUUGAAUAACAGGAGAGUCUACUCAUAAGCAGAUAAAAAUGGAGUGUAACUUGCUGGGCUUGUCAAGAUAAGUGAGAUUUGUGAAGUACUUAUUAAAUAAUUAUAUAUUACU